rnacentral:rRNA from 1 species
UUUCAGCUUGCCCCCCCGAAACUAAACGAGCUACUUCAAAACAGCCUCAAGGGCCAACCCGUCUCUGUCACAAUAGAGUGGGAAGAUUUUUAAGUAGAAGUGAAAAGCCUAUCGAGUUUAGAGAUAGCUGGUUACUCAGUAAAAGAAUAUUAGUUCUGCCUUAAAUUACCCUAUGUUAAUAAACAGACCCCUACAAUUUAAGAGUUACUCAACUAAGGCACAGCUUAUUUGAAACAGGACACAACCUAGAAGAUAGGGUAAAAUCCAACCCCAUAAAAAGUAGGCCCAAAAGCAGCCACCUUUUAAAAAGCGUUAAAGCUUCCUAUUAUCUAUUAUCCAAUCCCAAUAUACACCAUGAACCCCUNCCCCACACUGAGUGAUUUCAUAAAUAUAUGAAAGACAUAAUGCUGAGACUAGUAACAAGAAUNCAACAUUCUCCUAAAUGUAAACUUAACCCAAACCGGAUACACCACUGGCAAUUAACGGAAAUGAGCCAACUACAACAACACAACAAGAAAACCCUGUAGACACCACCGUUAACCUAACACAAGGACAUUUCAGGAAAGAUUAACAGGAAAAGAAGGAACUCGGCAAAUGGCGGCCCCGCCUGUUUACCAAAAACAUCGCCUCUUGACAUCUAUAAGAGGUCCAGCCUGCCCAGUGACAUAGUUCAACGGCCGCGGUAUCCUAACCGCGCGAAGGUAGCAUAAUCACUUGUUCUUUAAAUAAGGACUUGUAUCAACGGCACCACGAGGGCUGUACUGUCUCCUUUUCCCAAUCAGUGAAACUGAUCUCCCUGUGAAAAAGCAGGAAUAACCCUAUAAGACGAGAAGACCCCAUGGAGCUUCAAACCCACCGGCAACUCAUUCACACACUCCCCCUGAACCAAAAGAGACAUGCCCGUAAGUUUUAGGUUGGGGCAACCGCGGAGUAAAAAUUAACCUCCACGACGAAAAGAACUAAACCUUUAUUCAAGAGCCACCCCUCCAGAAAUUAGUAUACUAACGUAAAAUGACCCGAUUAUCGAUCAACGAACCAAGUUACCCUGGGGAUAACAGCGCAAUCUACUUCAAGAGCCCCUAUCGACAAGUAGGCCUACGACCUCGAUGUUGGAUCAGGGCAUCCCAGUGGUGCAGCCG